rnacentral:rRNA from 1 species
UACGUAGGGGGCAAGCGUUGUCCGGAAUCAUUGGGCGUAAAGCGCGUGUAGGCGGCUCUUCAAGUCAGACGUGAAAGCCCCGGGCUUAACUCGGGAACUGCGUUUGAUACUGUCGAGCUAGAGUCCGGAAGAGGAGAAUGGAAUUCCUGGUGUAGCGGUGAAAUGCGCAGAUAUCAGGAAGAACACCCGUGGCUAAGGCGGUUCUCUAGUACGGUACUGACGCUGAGACGCGAAAGCGUGGGGAGCAAACAGG